GUUUGAUCCUGGCUCAGAUUGAACGCUGGCGGCAGGCUUAACACAUGCAAGUCGAACGAUGAUUAUCUAGCUUGCUAGAUAUGAUUAGUGGCGGACGGGUGAGUAACAUUUAGGAAUCUGCCUAGUAGUGGGGGAUAGCUCGGGGAAACUCGAAUUAAUACCGCAUACGACCUACGGGUGAAAGGGGGCGCAAGCUCUUGCUAUUAGAUGAGCCUAAAUCAGAUUAGCUAGUUGGUGGGGUAAAGGCCCACCAAGGCGACGAUCUGUAACUGGUCUGAGAGGAUGAUCAGUCACACCGGAACUGAGACACGGUCCGGACUCCUACGGGAGGCAGCAGUGGGGAAUAUUGGACAAUGGGGGCAACCCUGAUCCAGCCAUGCCGCGUGUGUGAAGAAGGCCUUUUGGUUGUAAAGCACUUUAAGCAGGGAGGAGAGGCUAAUGGUUAAUACCCAUUAGAUUAGACGUUACCUGCAGAAUAAGCACCGGCUAACUCUGUGCCAGCAGCCGCGGUAAUACAGAGGGUGCGAGCGUUAAUCGGAAUUACUGGGCGUAAAGCGAGUGUAGGUGGCUCAUUAAGUCACAUGUGAAAUCCCCGGGCUUAACCUGGGAACUGCAUGUGAUACUGGUGGUGCCUAGAAUAUGUGAGAGGGAAGUAGAAUUCCAGGUGUAGCGGUGAAAUGCGUAGAGAUCUGGAGGAAUACCGAUGGCRAAGGCAGCUUCCUGGCAUAAUAUUGACACUGAGAUUCGAAAGCGUGGGUARCAAACAGGAUUAGAUACCCUGGUAGUCCACGCCGUAAACGAUGUCUACUAGCCGUUGGGGUCCUUGAGACUUUAGUGGCGCAGUUAACGCGAUAAGUAGACCGCCUGGGGAGUACGGCCGCAAGGUUAAAACUCAAAUGAAUUGACGGGGGCCCGCACAAGCGGUGGAGCAUGUGGUUUAAUUCGAUGCAACGCGAAGAACCUUACCUGGUCUUGACAUAGUGAGAAUCCUGUAGAGAUGCGGGAGUGCCUUCGGGAAUUCACAUACAGGUGCUGCAUGGCUGUCGUCAGCUCGUGUCGUGAGAUGUUGGGUUAAGUCCCGCAACGAGCGCAACCCUUUUCCUUAUUUGCCAGCGGGUUAAGCCGGGAACUUUAAGGAUACUGCCAGUGACAAACUGGAGGAAGGCGGGGACGACGUCAAGUCAUCAUGGCCCUUACGACCAGGGCUACACACGUGCUACAAUGGUAGGUACAGAGGGUUGCUACACAGCGAUGUGAUGCUAAUCUCAAAAAGCCUAUCGUAGUCCGGAUUGGAGUCUGCAACUCGACUCCAUGAAGUCGGAA
rnacentral:rRNA from 1 species